rnacentral:sRNA from 1 species
GCCAGGUGGAGUGGCACACACCUGUAAUCCCAGCCACUGGGAGGCUGAGUCAGGAGGAUGACAAGUUCAAAGUUAUUCUCUCAGCAACUUAAGAGAGGCACUUAGCAACUUAGUGAGACACUGUUUCAA